rnacentral:rRNA from 1 species
AGCAGCCGCGGUAAUUCCAGCUCCAAUAGCGUAUAUUAAAGUUGUUGCAGUUAAAAAGUUCGUAGUUGAACUUCGGAAUUUGCCCAUUGGUCAGGCUUAACUGUCUGCACUGGUGUGACGAGUUCCUACCUUCUGAGGAAUCUCCAUGUCAUUCAGUUGGUGUGGGGGGAAAUCAGGACUGUUACUUUGAAAAAAUUAGAGUGUUUAAAGCAGGCGUCCGUCUGAAUACAUUAGCAUGGAAUAAUAAAAUAGGACGGUUUGGUUCUAUUUUGUUGGUUUCUAGGAUCACCGUAAUGAUUACUAGGGAUAGUUGGGGGCAUUAGUAUUCAAUUGUCAGAGGUGAAAUUCUUGGAUUUAUUGAAGACUAACUACUGCGAAAGCAUUUGCCAAGGAUGUUUUCAUUAAUCAAGAACGAAAGUUAGGGGAUCGAAGACGAUCAGAUACCGUCGUAGUCUUAACCAUAAACUAUGC